CCUACGGGUGGCAGCAGUGGGGGAUAUUGCACAAUGGGGGGAACCCUGAUGCAGCGACGCCGCGUGGGUGAAGGAGUGCUUCGGCAUGUAAAGCCCUAUCGGCAGGGAAGAAGCAAGACGGUACCUGACUAAGAAGCCCCGACUAACUACGUGCCAGCAGCGGCGGUAAUACGUAGGGGGCGAGCGUUAUCCGGAUUCACUGGGUGUAGGGAGCGUAGACGGCCGUGCAAGCCAGGGGUGAAAGCCCGGGGCCAACCCCGGGGACUGCCCUCGGAACUGCAUGGCUGGAGUGCGGGAGGGGCAGGCGGAAUGCCUGGUGUAGCGGUGAAAUGCAUAGAUAUCAGGAGGAACACCGGCUGCGAAGGCGGCCUGCGGGACCGCGACUGACGUUGAGGCUCGAAAGCGUGGGGAGCGAACAGGAUUAGAUACCCCAGUAGUC
rnacentral:rRNA from 1 species